GACGAACGCUGGCGGCGCGCCUAAUGCAUGCAAGUCGAGCGACGCAUGCUCGGUGGGUAACCACUGGGUAUGACGGAGCGGCGAACGGGUGAGUAACACGUGAGUAACCUGCCCCGAAGAUCGGGAUAGCCCGGGAAACCCGGAUUAAUACCGAAUACCCUCUCUGGAUCGCAUGGUCCGGUGAGGAAAUGCCUUUGUGCUUCGGGAUGGACUCGCGGCCUAUCAGCUAGUUGGUGAGGUAACGGCUCACCAAGGCAACGACGGGUAGCUGGUCUGAGAGGACGAUCAGCCACACUGGGACUGAGACACGGCCCAGACUCCUACGGGAGGCAGCAGCAGGGAAUCUUGUCCAAUGGGCGCAAGCCUGAGACAGCGACGCCGCGUGAGGGAUGAAGGCCUUCGGGUUGUAAACCUCUUUCAGGAGGGACGAAAUUGACGGUACCUCCAGAAGAAGCCCCGGCCAACUACGUG
rnacentral:rRNA from 1 species